rnacentral:rRNA from 1 species
CAGAGGGUGCGAGCGUUAAUCGGAAUUACUGGGCGUAAAGCGAGUGUAGGUGGCUCAUUAAGUCACAUGUGAAAUCCCCCGGGCUUAACCUGGGAACUGCAUGUGAUACUGGUGGUGCUAGAAUAUGUGAGAGGGAAGUAGAAUUCCAGGUGUAAGCCGGUGAAAAUGCGUAGAGAUCGUGGAGGAAUACCGAUGGCGAAGGCAGCUUCCUGGCAUAAUAUUGACACUGAGAUUCGAAAGCGUAGGGUAGCAAACAGGAUU